rnacentral:rRNA from 1 species
GGCGAACGCUGGCGGCGGGCUUAACACAUGCAAGUCGAACGGCAAGGCCCUGCUUUUGUGGUGUUCUCGAGUGGCGAACGGGUGCGGAACACGUGAGUAACCGGCCCUUGACUUUGGGGUAACUUCACGAAACUGGAGUUAAUACCAUAUAGCAUCUCCUCCUGCGGGGUAGGGGUUGGAAAUUUUCGGCGGUUGGGGCUGGACUGGCGGCUUAUCAGCUUGUUGGUGGGGUAGGGGAUUACCGAGGCUGUGGCGGGUAGCCGGCCCGAGAGGGUGACCGGCGACAAUGGUACUGAGAUACGGAGCAGACUCCUACGGGAGGCAGCAGUGGGGAAUCUUGCACAAUGGGCGGAAGCCUGAUGCAGCAACGCCGCGUGCGGGAUGACGGCCUUCGGGUUGUAAAACGCUUUCGCCUGUGACGAAGCGGGAGUGACGGUAAUCGGUAAAGAAGCACCGGCUAACUACGUG